rnacentral:rRNA from 1 species
AUUGAACGCUGGCGGCAGGCCUAACACAUGCAAGUCGAGCGGAUGAAGGUAGCUUGCUCCUGGAUUCAGCGGCGGACGGGUGAGUAAUUCCUAGGAAUCUGCCUGGUAGUGGGGGAUAACGUCCGUAAAAGGGCGCUGAUACCGCAUACGUCCUGAGGGAGAAAGUGGGGGAUCUUCGGACCUCACGCUAUCAGAUGAUCCUAGGUCGGAUUAGCUAGUUGGUGGGGUGAAGGCCUACCAAGGCGACGAUCCGUAACUGGUCUGAGAGGAUGAUCAGUCACACUGGAAGUGAGACACGGUCCAGACUCCUACGGGAAGCAGCAGUGGGGAAUAUUGGGCAAUGGGCGAAAGCCUGAUCCAGCCAUGCCGCGUGUGUGAAGAAGGUCUUCGGAUUGUAAAGCACUUUAAGUUGGGAGGAAGGGCAGUAAGUUAAUACCUUGCUGUUUUGACGUUACCAACAGAAUAAGCACCGGCUAACUUCGUG